AAAUAAUAUUGGAAUUAUUUACAUCACAUUCACCUAUAUGAACAUAUAAAUAAUAUAAAUAUGUAUGUAAUAUGGAUUUAAAACUUUUAUUUCCAUUUGCAAAGUUAUUUUCUGAGAGCCUGAUAAACAAAGUUGAGUAUACACUUUUUGUAUAUAUAAACACAUGCACACACAUGCAUGUACACACACACACGCAUGCACACACGCACACACCCAUCCCUGGGUAGUCAAUGGUGAAAUAAAGAAGAGAGAAGCCAUAAUCCAUAGUCUCAAAAGUUUUAUAUACAAGAAGAAGCAAAAAAAAAAAAUUCAGAAGCAGACUUGGGUUGGAAUCCUGGCUCUGUCACUUGCACCUUGGUGUUAGGCACAUUAUGUCAUUUCACUGAGACUCAAUUUCUCCUCUGAGAAUGGGGACAGUAAUACUCACUCCUCACAAUUGGUGGGGAAUUUGGAGGAAAUGUAAAUGAAACAUCUAGCACAACGCUUAGCAUUACCCAUAAACACUCACCAACGCUGUAUUGUUCAGACAAAAAGAGGAGAGACUUAUUAUGUCACUAACACAUUUGGAUUUCUUGGCUCCCAACUCUUCAAAACUCUUCAGAAAUGUUUUAGGAGCUCUAAAGUGGUACAUCUAGAGUGACAUCAGGCAGAAGCUCUAAUUUCAGUGGAUGUUCCUAGAGCUCCCAUGUCCAGUGUGGCAGCUACAGGCAAUUGAUUUAUCAUGCCUGUGAUGGGCAAUUGAUUUAUCAUGUCUACAGUCAUCUCUAGUAAAUCAUUUUAUCAUAUCUAUAAUCAUCUCUAGUAAAGCAGAUUUCACAGUCAGCUUUUUUCAUGAUCCCCAUUUUCAGUCACUCACACAGAUAGGGAAUUGUCCUUUAUUUUCGUCUCUACGCCGAAGUCUUUCCUCCUAUUCCAGUUACUACAUCCUUGGGGAAGAACACUGUUAAACUGAUCAGCCAAAUGCCAGGACUGUUUUUCUAGUGUUUGGAGCUCUCUGUUUCCAUUUCUUCCCAAGCUAAUUAGGUAGGGUACAGCUUUUUAGCUCCUUAGAGUGGUAAUUUCUGAGGCUUUGGUUAGGAUUCCAGGGAAAAGGCACAGUGAGUCACUUUGAGUCUAGGCUGAGGUUCUCCAAAUAUGGACCAUGGACCAGCAUCAUCAGCCUCACCUGGAAGCUUCUUAGAAAUACAAAAUCUCAGGUCACCCCUCAGAGCCUACUAAACCAGAAGUUGCAUUUUAACAAGAUCCACAGGAGAUUCAGACACUCAGUUUCGAGAAAUCCAUCCCAGAUCUAUAAACUAACUUCAUUUAAGUAAAUGAAGUUUCUGCCUAGCUCAACCUAGCCAUCUGAAACACGACACUGGUAUUUGAUAUAAAUUUCCAGUUGGUUAAAAUCAUUCCUUUUUUGUAACAUUGCCGUUGUUCCCUGAACUUAGAUCUAUUUCUGGGUCUGCUUUGCGAGGGCCUCCUCUGUGAUGAGCUGGAACGAACUGGCACAGGCUCUUGAGAGCCCAUUCUGCCCAUCCCUUCCCAACUUUGUGUUCAGAAACAUCAUGUUGGUAACAUGAAAUUGACCACGGCAGGAGUAUUUACACCACUGAAAUAGGAAAAUACAACAAGUCAGAACAUUCUUUCCCCCUGAAGAACCGGCUUAUAGCCCAGACAUACCUGACAUAAAUCAGGGGUAUUGGCUCCCUGGCAUAAUAACAUCAUAGGAGCAUUCUAAUGCUAUUGUCACUUCCUCCACACUCUAAUUCUCGCAACAGAGAAAGUGCAUUUCUUUUCAUUCUAUCCUUGGUAGAAACGGGGAUCAAUUGGCUACUACCAAAUAUCAUCUCAUGGAAAUGCUAUAGCUCAACAAUUUUAAUAUACAUAACAACCAUCUGGGGUGUCUGUUAAAAUGCUCUUUUGUAAAUUUACUCCCAGGAUUUUUAUUUAGGAGAUUUGUAUUCAGACCUGCGAUUCUGCAUUUUACAAGAUAAAGAAAUUCUAAUGCUGGUAGUCUUUAGACAAUGCAUUGAAAAAAAUUCAAGUGUCGGGCAUAUUGACAGGGAAGCAGCUCAUUACAUUUACCUGGGGGUUCUAAGAGCUUCCACCACCCAAUGCCCUGUGUCUCCCCAGAGAAAUAACACUCUACUAAUCAAACACACUAACUCUGAACUCAACUGCAUAUUGCCAACUUGCAAAACUUAUAGUAGCUACCCAUUCAGAUAGCCGUGAAGUAGUGUGGUCUUCAAGCUCUCAGAUUUCCUGUCAAAAAAUUGAAGCCCCAUUGGCAAGCUGCAGGUUGCCGGCUGUCCAAGGAUAUCAUCUCCAAUUGAAAUCAGCAAUGCAGGCUCACAGUCUUUGGCUCAGGUCUCCCAAGCAUAUCAUUAUUAUUCUAAUGAAUUUGGAAAAUUACAUGUUCUCUAAUAAUAGCCCAUGAAAGGAAUAUACAAAUAGAAAUACAGAAAGAAGUGACUUGCUGUGGGCCCUUUGAAGAACUUGGUGAGGGAGUUUGUUCAGUUGUUUUUAGAUAAUAGAAUUAGACUUACUCUAUUGGGCCUCAUUGAAUAAAAGGGAAUUUUUCAUUAAAAUGUAUAUUCUGGGCUUCUGAAACAAAAUCAUAAGUUCAGGCAUCACUAGGCCCACAUUCUGUGUGGCACCAAUCCAGAGCUGAGUAAUGGUAGCUGUUUAUGGAAGAGGCAUGAAUUCUCCAGUUGCGGUAGUUUCCGUCAUUCUCACUUUGUUUUCCUAACUGGCCUUGUCUGUGUAGUUAUCUGAGUUUGCAGCCCCUGCUAAGCUUUGUUUUCUUUCUUGAUUUUCUUUUACCCUCCUUCCAAGUUCCCUUCAGAAGGCUCACAACAUAAAAUCCUGGGAAGCUCUUCUUGCUAUCUGUUGCAAUUUAGUGUAAGCCAAUCUUGUGUUUGAUGAUUAUUGGAUUAUUAGAUAGAAAACAAUAACUAUCUAGAGUUAGUAGUUGAAGUCUGUAACAGAACUCCUCAAACUUUAACUUGGCUAUGAAUUGCCUGGGAUCCUGUUAGUAUACAUUUGUUAAUUCAGUAGAUCUAGAGUGGCCCUGCUGAUGGUUGCAUGCACCAUCCAUUGAGUAGAAAAGGCGUAAGUUUCUGCCUCUAAAACCUUCCAGGUUCUAUCAGAAGCAGGAAGCAAAACAAAGUUUGCCAUUCAUACAAGUGUUUAUUAGCAAUAGAAUUUUUAAAAGGCAUACAAUCUGCCUUAUAAACUGGAUAAAUCUCAAAUCUUUGCCCUCUUAAUUAUCCUGACCAUGUCUUUGCAUAAAGCAAAAGUAACAGUGUUCUGGAAGCAGGGAUUCUGUUAAUCUGUUUCUUUUCUUUCUUUCUUUUUUUUUUUUUUUUUUUUGAGACCGAGUCUCACCCUAUCACCCAGGCUGGAGUUCAGUGGCACAAUCUCGGCUCACUGUAAGGGCUGUCUCCUGGGUUCAAGCGAUUCUCAUGCCUCAGCCUCCCAAGUAGCUGGGAUUACAGGCACCCACCACCACACCCAGAUGAAAACCUCUCUCUGCAGUUCCUGGCAUCAUCUGAAAAGCAAAAAAUAAGGAUUUUCUUUCUUCUCAAUACCAUCUAGCACUUGAAGAAAAACUGCCAGCCAGCCAGAUGUUGAUUUUAUAACCAAAAGGAGCCACAUUCAGACCUGAUAAAGAGAUCAUUUGGUUACCACCCAGAAACCACAGACAUAAGAGUUUUAUGCCAUAAAACUGGAUAAGUUUAUUCUGUAAGACUGGAUAAGACUUUCGGGUUGUUUCCAUAGGGAUGCACACUGAGAGAGCUAAAUACCAAUGACCAUAAGUGGUAUCCUUAGUACUGCUCACAAAAUAUUUCUAAUUCUCUCAUACUCAAUUACAUGGAGGAUUAUAAUGUCUUGCUCUCUUUUGCAUGGAUGGGCCAUGUGACUGGAUCUGACCAAUGAGUUUGAGCAGAAGCAACGUUUUACUUCCAAAUUGACUUCAAUAAAGGAAAACGCUCUGCCUCACAUGGUUUCUUCAGAAAAGCCCUGUGGAAUCUACCUGUUGAAAUAAGGACAUCUAGCUGCUUCUACAGCUUUAAUUACUAAAAAAAGAAAAGAUCCCAUGCAAUACUAAGAAAGGUUAUAUAUUUUUUUAAAUGACUGCUUCUUAUGAGAGAAGAUAAUGUUGCAUAACCAAGACCUGAAAUUCAAUUCUCAUCUAUGGUAACUCUGGCUGUUUCAAUUAUGUGAAAUCAUGUUCAUCAACAAUUUGACAGAGAAAAGCAAAAGAAAAUUAUUUCAUGUCUUCUAACAGCUGCAGAUUUGUGAGCAGAGAGCAAAUGACAGGAGUAUAUUUGGAUCAAAGUGUGAAGAUGUGCUUAAUUCUAUUCCAACACUCAUUCUCAGCCCCAUUUUUAACAUAUAAGAAUUCAUUCUCAUGUACACCAACCAGAUCCAGACUUCCAUGGGAUUUACUACCAUAAGGGACGGUGGAGGUUAUUAUGACAUAAACCCUUACUCCAAAUAUCCAACAUACGAGAUAAGUUUCCUAAUUCAUACAACACUCUAUCCUGUUUCAAGCAUAAUUAAAAUAUCUUUCUUUAUUCCAAAAUCAAGAUAUUCCAUGGUGAUGAGAAUGAGAACCACCCAUUCUGGCUUGGAUGGUCUCCAUUUUAAAUGUUGCGUAGGAAGAUUAUCCAAGUAUAUACCUACUUGUCAGGUUGUACUUCAAUUUUUAAUUUUGAUCCCAUGGUCACCAUAGCUGUGGGUCAUAAACUAAUUUUAGUGAUGGUCCUGGCAAUAUCUUUCUCAGUUUAUAUUUACUCAAUAACAUAUAUCAAUUAGAAAUUUAUUCAGUCAGCCAAUAUUGUAAAUAUUUAUUGUGUGCUUAUUAGGUGUCAGGUUCUGUGCCAUGAUUUGGAGACACAAUGAAAAACAAAAUACAACAUCAACCCCCUAGAAAAGAGGUCAACUAACUUUUCUGCAAAGAGCCAAGCAGUAAAUCUUUUAGGCUUGUGGACCAUAUUGUUUCUAUCACAGCUAUGCAACUGUGCCAUUGUAACGGGAAAGUAGCCAUAGGAAUAUAAACAAAUGUGCCUGGUUAUGUUCCAAUAAAACUUUAUUUCAAAAAGCAGGUGGCAAGACUAGAUGUGGCCCAUUCAUCAUAGUUUUCCAACCCCUGCUGUAAUUGCCUAGAGUCUAGAGCAGUACCAUCUAAUAAGAACACAAUGCAAGGCAUAAAUGCGAGCCAUAGAUACACCUUUAAACUUUCAGUUAGACACACUUUGAAAAGUAAAAAGCAAUGAGUGGGGUUAAUUUUAAUAAUAUGUUUUAUUUGACUGGGUAUAUCCCAAAUAUUAUCACGUAAACAAGUACAUGUAAACAAGUACUUAAAAAUUACUAGGCAACAUACUAGGUUUUUGAAAGCUGAUGUUUGUUUUACAUGUACAGCACCGUUCAAUUCAUCUCAGUCACAUUUCAACUGCUCAGUAGCCACCACAGUGGUUAGUGGCCACCAUGUUACACAGCUCAGGUCUAAACAGAUGCACAAUUGGUAGGGAUAAACAUGAAGUAUUUAGAGUGAACAUGAAGGAGGAAAAGCCAACCUUAUAUCCAUGGCGGUUAUGGCUGGUGGUCAGGGAGAGUUUUUAUAGAAAGGCAUCCAGCAUGAAGAACAGGAAUUCCCUAGCUGAGGAUAGAGAGAAAGACGAUUUUGAACAGAGGGGAAAAUAUGCAUAAAAACCUCAAGAGGGAGAAAGGUGCAGCUUCUUAAAACAAUUUAAAGCAGCUCCAUAUAUAUAUGUAUAAAGUCAGGGUGGGUGGUGUGGACUCUGAGCUAAGGGAGUGGCAUUGGGAAUGGAGGGAAGUGACUCAGAUGUGAGAGAUAUUAAUGAGACAGAAUUGACACAGCUUGGAGAUGGAUUGGACAUGGAUCAGAUGAGGAAGAAGGAAGCAGAAAGGAUGAUGUGGAGGGGUUUAGCUUGCACAGAAUGCAAAGACGAAACUAUCAUUUGUUGAGAUGGGACAUGCAGAAGCAGGAGUAGAGUUGGGGAAAGGUGAAGAGUUCAGCCUUUGAGGCCUCAGGGAGAUAGGCACAAAGAUAACAAAAGACGUGCAAAAGCCACAUCCACGUGCAGAACAUGCCUUCAUGCUCAGGAAUGCCUUUUAUGGCAAAAGCUGCCCUCAUGCUGUGAGCAAGAGUCUCUCUCCACACUCCCUCCAACCUAAAUUUUUAUCUAGUGUCUCUGCCACCACAUGAAGGGCUAAAAUCCUGAGUCUGUUGGCCUAGAAUGCUUGUUCUUUCCCUUCUGUUUUACGUACUUAGCUCCUGUUCAUUUUCAGGUCUCAGUUUAAAUGCCACUUCUCAGGGAGACUUCUCAGAUCCCCCAGAUGAUCCCCUUGCCACCUAAAUUCAUGUAUCUUUCCUCGGUGACAGUUUUCACACUUGUAAUUUCACAAGCAUUUGUGUAAUUAUUUGAUUAUUGACUUUCUGUCUUGAAAAUAAAGUUUAGUAAGCAAGAACUGUGUUUAUUCUUGCUUGACACUGUGGUACUACCCUCUGCCAUUUACCUAGCACAUCAUGGAUGUUCAAUAAAUAUUUGUGGAAUGAAUUAACAUAAUA